AAAUAUCCUUAUUUUAUCCACGCAAUACAGCGUUAUAUUGUCUUUCAGGUGUUUAACAUUGCUUUCUUGACAUGUUUAUGCACACUUCCGGUUGUGGAUUGUGGAGUUUAGCGUCGUAACAGAUGAGCAGCUAGGCUUUUAAUGCAGCACAGGACCUGAGUCAGGAAAAAGAAAUCCAGAAAACUUCUACAUAUGGAUUGAGAUACCUCGUCUGUGGAAAAGUAACAGCUUGGUUCUGCUGGGGUUUGACCUCACACGUGUGUUGUGUUGUUUCAAGCUAAUGAAUGCAAAUUUGCUAUGUAUUGUUAUUUCCUUCCAAACCUUUUACUUCCUGCUUCUGAAAAACUGAUCAUUUGUAGUCGAAAGGUUUGUGAAAUUGCACACUGGCCAGGAACAUCGUUACAUAGAAGCACUUGAGGAUUUCUGUGUGAGUUUGUAUCAUAAGCUCGAUGUUAAAACUGACAUUAUUGUAUUUAUUUUAUGUGUCUGAAUGAAAUCAUUUUGCUUUUUUUGGAAUUGAGAUACUUACAUUAGAUUCCUCUGAUAAAUGUUUAAUAAAAAUGCUAACAAUCA